CGAGGUCUUUUAGGAGCUUGCUCCUGGCUGAUCUAGUGGCGGACGGGUGAGUAACACGUGAGCAACCUGCCGAGGAGUGGGGGAUAACGUUUGGAAACGAACGCUAAUACCGCAUAACGUAUGGGGAUGGCAUCAUCUCCAUACCAAAGGAGUAAUCCGCUUUUUGAUGGGCUCGCGCCUGAUUAGAUAGUUGGUGGGGUAAUGGCCUACCAAGUCUGCGAUCAGUAGCCGGACUGAGAGGUUGAACGGCCACAUUGGGACUGAGACACGGCCCAGACUCCUACGGGAGGCAGCAGUGGGGGAUAUUGCACAAUGGGGGAAACCCUGAUGCAGCGACGCCGCGUGAGUGAAGACGGCCUUCGGGUUGUAAAGCUCUGUGGACAGGGACGAUAAUGACGGUACCUGUCUAGAAAGCCACGGCUAACUACGUGCCAGCAGCCGCGGUAAUACGUAGGUGGCAAGCGUUGUCCGGAAUUACUGGGUGUAAAGGGAGCGCAGGCGGGGACUUAAGUUGGAUGUGAAAUGCCACGGCUUAACCGUGAGCUGCAUCCAAAACUGGGACUCUUGAGUGAAGUAGAGGUAGGCGGAAUUCCUAGUGUAGCGGUGAAAUGCGUAGAUAUUAGGAGGAACACCAGUGGCGAAGGCGGCCUACUGGGCUUUAACUGACGCUGA
rnacentral:rRNA from 1 species